rnacentral:rRNA from 1 species
GAUGAACGCUGGCGGCGUGCCUAAUACAUGCAAGUCGAGCGAACAGACGAGGAGCUUGCUCCUCUGACGUUAGCGGCGGACGGGUGAGUAACACGUGGAUAACCUACCUAUAAGACUGGGAUAACUUCGGGAAACCGGAGCUAAUACCGGAUAAUAUAUUGAACCGCAUGGUUCAAUAGUGAAAGACGGUUUUGCUGUCACUUAUAGAUGGAUCCGCGCCGCAUUAGCUAGUUGGUAAGGUAACGGCUUACCAAGGCAACGAUGCGUAGCCGACCUGAGAGGGUGAUCGGCCACACUGGAACUGAGACACGGUCCAGACUCCUACGGGAGGAAGCAGUAGGGAAUCUUCCGCAAUGGGCGAAAGCUUGACGGAGCAACGCCGCGUGAGUGAUGAAGGUCUUCGGAUCGUAAAACUCCGUUAUUAGGGAAGAACAAAUGUGUAAGUAACUAUGCACGUCUUGACGGUACCUAAUCAGAAAGCCACGGCUAACUACGUG